rnacentral:rRNA from 1 species
CCUACGGGUGACAGCAGUGAGGAAUAUUGGUCAAUGGCCGGAAGGCUGAACCAGCCAAGCCGCGUGAGGGAGGAAGGCGCAGAGCGUCGCAGACCUCUUUUGCCGGGGGACAAAAGGCCGGACUCGUCCGGGCCUGAGGGUAGCCUGAGAAAAAGCAUCGGCAAACGCCGUGCCAGCAGCCGCGGGAAUACGGAGGAUGCGAGGGGUGUCCGGAUUGAUUGGGUUAAAAGGGUGCGCAGGCGGGCCUUUAAGCCGGUGGUGAAACCGCGGGGCUAAACCCCGGCGAGCCGUUGGAACUGGGGGCCUUGAGUGCGGGAGAGGCAGGCGGAAUGCGCGGUGUAGCGGUGAAAUGCAUAGAUAUCGCGAAGAACCCCGGUUGCGAAGGCAGCCUGCCGUGCCGCAACUGACGCUGAGGCACGAAAGCGCGGGGAUCGAACAGGAUUAGAUACCCGAGUAGUC